CAUUGUAAAAGAAAGAGAAAACCGUGUCCUGCUCUCUCUCUUUCAAUUUCGUUUUCCUUGCCUCUGCAUAGUGGGUAGCGAAUUUCUUCCUCUCAAUUUAUUCAUCAUUCUUCUUGUCUUUUUCCUCCACAAAAAAAAAACCACACAAAAUCCUACCAUUGAUUACAUGCUGUUGAAGGACAUUUGGGCUUUCACGUGGAAGAGUUUUGAGACAAUUAUUGAGAGUUAGGGCUUCUGAUUUGAGGAAGGAGAAGAGUAUCCAGCACUUCAAAUUGUGGAUUUGAUUUCUUGGAGAUUCGUUGGCUAGUGGUUUGUUCGGUUGCCGUGGAGCUGUUGGAAGCAGUUCAGUUGAUUCGCCUUUGUUGAAACUGAGUAGCAGACUGUUGUCAGAUUCAGGUCGUUCGGCUUAUUUCGUUUAUAGGCCUCAUUGGAAGGUUGUCAUUUAAUUGUGUCUGUUGUCGGUCUUUGUCAUUCUGCAGCUAUAGGGGAGUCUUUGAGGGGAUUCAGUCUAACUUGUUAUUUAUUGUUUAAAUUUAAGAUUUAGCACAUUAGUGCUGAAUUUGAAAUUUAUGUAUUCUUGGAAUUCUAGUUAUGAUAAAUCUCAAUUGUUAGAUUUUAUUAUUUUGAAGAUAUUGAUAUUACAGGAAA